UACGGAGGGUGCGAGCGUUGUCCGGAAUCACUGGGCGUAAAGGGCGCGUAGGCGGGAUGGCAAGUCGGUCGUGAAAUCCUUCGGCUCAACCGAAGAACGUCGAUCGAUACUGCUGUUCUUGAGGGUUGCAGAGGAGACUGGAAUUCCCGGUGUAGCGGUGAAAUGUGUAGAGAUCGGGAGGAACACCGGUGGCGAAGGCGGGUCUCUGGGCAAUUCCUGACGCUGAGGCGCGAAAGCGUGGGGAGCAAACGGG
rnacentral:rRNA from 1 species